rnacentral:rRNA from 1 species
GAUGAACGCUGGCGGCGUGCCUAAUACAUGCAAGUCGAGCGAACAGACGGGGAGCUUGCUCCUCUGACGUUAGCGGCGGACGGGUGAGUAACACGUGGAUAACCUACCUAUAAGACUGGGAUAACUUCGGGAAACCGGAGCUAAUACCGGAUAAUAUAUUGAACCGCAUGGUUCAAUAGUGAAAGACGGUUUUGCUGUCACUUAUAGAUGGAUCCGCGCCGCAUUAGCUAGUUGGUAAGGUAACGGCUUACCAAGGCAACGAUGCGUAGCCGACCUGAGAGGGUGAUCGGCCACACUGGAACUGAGACACGGUCCAGACUCCUACGGGAGGCAGAAGUAGGGAAUCUUCCGCAAUGGGCGAAAGCCUGACGGAGCAACGCCGCGUGAGUGACGAAGGUCUUCGGAUCGUAAAACUCUGUUAUUAGGGAAGAACAAAUGUGUAAGUAACUAUGCACGUCUUGACGGUACCUAAUCAGAAAGCCACGGCUAACUACGUG